rnacentral:rRNA from 1 species
UACGGAGGGUGCGAGCGUUGUCCGGAAUCAUUGGGCGUAAAGGGUGCGUAGGCGGCGCGGUAAGUCGGGUGUGAAAUCUCGGGGCUUAACUCCGAAACUGCAUUCGAUACUGCCGUGCUUGAGGACUGGAGAGGAGACUGGAAUUUACGGUGUAGCGGUGAAAUGCGUAGAUAUCGUAAGGAAGACCAGUGGCGAAGGCGGGUCUCUGGACAGUUCCUGACGCUGAGGCACGAAGGCCAGGGGAGCAAACGGG